AAACUUUGCAAUACACGAAAGUGUGACAGGGCUAUCCCGAGUGCCGUCCGCUGAGGAUGGCUUUUACCCAGUCUAGCAAGCUGGGGGAAUAAGGAGAGGGCAAGUCUGGUGUCAGCCGCCGCGGUAAUACCAGCUCUCCGAGUGGUGUGGAUGUUUAUUGGGCCUAAAGCAUCCGUAGCUGGCUGUUCAAGUCCCCUGUUAAACCCAGCGAUUUAAUCGUUGGUUUGCGGGGGAUACUGUUCGGCUAGGGGGCGGGAGAGGCAGACGGUAUUUUCGGGGUAGGGGUGAAAUCCUAUAAUCCCGGGAAGACCACCAGUGGCGAAGGCUGUCUGCUAGAACGCGCCCGACGGUGAGGGAUGAAAGCUGGGGGAGCGAACCGGAUUAGAUACCCGGGUAGUCCCAGCUGUAAACUAUGCAGGCUAGGUGUUUGGGCGGCCACGUGCCGCUCUAGUGCCGCAGGGAAGCUGUUAAGCCUGCCGCCUGGGGAGUACGGCCGCAAGGCUGAAACUUAAAGGAAUUGGCGGGGGAGCACCACAAGGGGUGAAGCUUGCGGUUUAAUUGGAGUCAACGCCGGAAAUCUCACCGGGAGCGACAGCAGAUUGAAAGCCAGAUUGAAGGUCUUGCUGGACGAGCUGAGAGGAGGUGCAUGGCCGUCGCCAGUUCGUGCCGUGAGGUGUCCUGUUAAGUCAGGCAACGAUCGAGACCCGCGUCCUCUGUUGCUACUAGUUUUGCGCUAGGCACACUGAGGAGACCGCCGCUGAUAAAGCGGAGGAAGGAGCGGGCCACGGCAGGUCAGUAUGCCCCGAAUCUCCCGGGCCACACGCGAGCUGCAAUGGCAGGUACAAUGAGUUCCGACCCUGAAAGGGGGAGGCAAUCUCGAAAGCCUGCCGUAGUUGGGAUCGAAGGCUGAAACCCGCCUUCGUGAACAUGGAAUCCCUAGUAAUCGCGUGUCACUAGCGCGCGGUGAAUACGUCCCUGCUCCUUGCACACACCGCCCGUCGUUCCACCCGAGCGACUCUUGGGUGAGGCGUGGUCUUUGUUGGCUGCGUCGAAUCUGAGUUUCGUAAGGGGGGAA
rnacentral:rRNA from 1 species